rnacentral:lncRNA from 1 species
CCCUAUGUAGGCUGAUCUCACUUGAUGGGAGUGAGUGAGUGAGGAAGGGGACCCUCUGGUUCUGGAGCCUCUCAUCUGGCCCUGCUGCUCAGUAUUCAUUGAUCCUUCAAAUGUCAGUGUGUCCACAGGAGAGAAAGGGUGGCAGGUAGGGCUGGCAGAAGGCAGAUGUGUGGCUUUAUAGUGAUCCUAUGCUUGGGGCUGGGUGGGUUUCAGCUGGGGUGUGGGAGCAGAGAAAUUGGCUUUGGGAGGCUCUGUGAUGGGGGCCUUGCAGCAGGUGGGUGGUGAGGGCAGCAUGGAGGUGGUGGCUGGC